GCUGGUCUUGCAGUGCACUUGGGCGAAGAACAUAAAGUGAUUUGAACUAUUAUGAAUCAUUUGAAGUGUUAAUGACUUCAUGAAGAAAGCCAAAAUACUGAGGUCACAGACACGGGCAUGAGGCUCAAUUUAAAGGAGACCAGAAGAAGCAAGUUUUGCCAGACGAAGCAAGUUUUGCCAGACUGAAACACAAACUCAUUCCAUUACUCAUGGAAGGUCCUGCAGAUAAGGGUAAGAUGGUGAUCUAAGAAGAAAUAUGUGUUAAUAACUGUUUCAUAGCAGAUCUAUCACCAGUGACAGGGAGACAGCUUGUAUGAAUCCUGUGUGACAUUACCACCCAAACCUAUGAUUGCAGCAGAGACCAGGUGUAUCAUAGUACAGCAAUUUUAAUAGAUGUACACUCUGACUGGUUUAUCACAUUGUCCCAAGUGGUAAGGGUGCUCUAGUUAAGCCUAAAUUGUACCCUUUCCUGGGCUCUGUCUGUC
rnacentral:lncRNA from 1 species